CCUACGGGAGGCAGCAGUGGGGGAUAUUGGACAAUGGGGGGAACCCUGACCCAGCAACGCCGCGUGAAGGAAGAAGGCUUUCGGGUUGUAAACUUCUUUUAAGAGGGAAGAGCAGAAGACGGUACCUCUUGAAUAAGCCACGGCUAACUACGUGCCAGCAGCCGCGUUAAUACUUAGGUGGCAAGCGUUGUCCGGAUUUACUGGGUGUAAAGGGCGUGCAGCCGGGAAGACAAGUCAGAUGUGAAAUCCCGCGGCGCAACCGCGGAACUGCAUUUGAAACUGUUUUUCUUGAGUACCGGAGAGGUCAUCGGAAGUCCUAGUGUAGCGGUGAAAUGCGUAGAGAUAAGGAAGAACACCAGUGGAGAAGGCGGAUGACUGGACGGCAACUGACGGUGAGGCGCGAAAGCGUGGGGAGCAAACAGGAUUAGAUACCCGUGUAGUC
rnacentral:rRNA from 1 species